CAACAUGAUAACUUAAUAACAUUAGUCCUACCAGACACUAACUUAGUUUUAUAGAUGAUCCUGGAGCAAAGGCUGUAAUUUAACCUGAACCCAAAUUGGUCUCUGUUUUAAAUAUUGUCUUGAACCAAUAAGUUAAGAGGACUAACUUUUCUGGACGACCUUGCCAUCGACAUCACUGCAGAUGAGAAAGAAAGAGAGACCAGAGUUGUGUACCUAAUUACCAUACUGCUGUGAUAAUGUUCCUUGGUCUAACCAUAACUUAAGUGAGAGCUGAAGCCUACCAGUAAAAUGGGGGUGUUGUAAUUAAUAUCCUCCGACACUGGAGGAUACAGGGGAGAGGUGUCAGAGGAAGAGGAGAUGGAUGAUGGGGCCAGUUUAAGACUAAGAUUGAAGAAAACUAACUUAUGGCCUGAUGACAGGGUGGAUGGUGAUGGAGGCAUGGAGGUUGGGGGAGAGAAGGCUGAAGAAGUGAAGACAAAUCAGUUUAGAUUCAUUAUAAUGAUUAGUUUAAUAUUUAUUUUGAAUACCCGUAUACUUUUAUAAAAAUUUUUUUCUCAUUUAGAUUAUUUAAUUAGGAAAAUUUUAUUAUUUUUAUAAAGAUGUUUUCUUAAAUUUUUAAUAUUUGUUUGUACUUCUGCCUGGUAAAAAACAAAACUGUUUAUUAUGUUUGUUAAAAUGAUUAGGCCCUACUUCCACUAAUGGACCUUGUCUUGGGUUAAAAGAGAUAUCUUGAUAUUUAACUAGCAGGGUGCCUGUUCUAUCUAUGGGCGGGGAUCGUAUAAGUCAGUUGAAACCUUCUUAUAUUUCGAUAUUUGGUAAAUUAAUCAUUUCCAACUUU